rnacentral:rRNA from 1 species
GAUCUGGCUCAGGAUGAACGCUGGCGGCGUGCUUAACACAUGCAAGUCGAACGAAGCAACCAUGAAGCCUAGCGAUUGGUUGACUGAGUGGCGGACGGGUGAGUAACGCGUGGGUAACCUGCCUCAUACAGGGGGACAACAGUUAGAAAUGACUGCUAAUACCGCAUAACCCGCUAGGGCCGCAUGGCCCGGACGGAAAAGGAGCAAUCCGGUAUGAGAUGGACCCGCGUCUGAUUAG